GGUAAAAUGGCUGAGUAUUUAGGUAAUAAACUGUAAAUUUAUUUAGGAAAUUUUAAUUUCUUUUACCA
rnacentral:tRNA from 1 species